rnacentral:ncRNA from 1 species
AUUAUAUAAUUAGAGAGCUAGUUAUUGUCAGAAUGAACUUCUGGCUAUUAGAAACCAUCAAAUUGCGGGAAUACCCUAAAGCUAUUUCAACCAAGCAGACGUGGUAACACAGUUUGUGGCACAGGUAAUGACUCGUGGUAUGGUAAAAUCGAAAUGGAUUAUCUUAAAUUAAGAUAAACGGGCAAUCUGCAGCCAAGCACCGUAUUAACUAAAUAACUAAACGGUGUGCAGUUCAUCGACUAAACGUUGGUUGGCGCAAGCUUAAGAUAUAGUCAGGCCCACUUCGAGAGAAGGCA